AAAAAAAAAAAAAAAAAAAAAAAAAAAAAACU
rnacentral:ribozyme from 1 species